rnacentral:rRNA from 1 species
UACGUAGGGUGCGAGCGUUAAUCGGAAUUACUGGGCGUAAAGCGCGCGCAGGCGGUCCGGUAAGUCUCCGGUGAAAUCGCCCGGCUCAACUGGGCGGGUGCCGGGGAGACUGGCGGACUUGAGGAGCCUAGAGGCCGGUGGAACUCCCGGUGUAGUGGUGAAAUGCGUAGAGAUCGGGAAGAACACCAGUGGCGAAGGCGGCCGGCUGGGGGUGUCCUGACGCUGAGGCGCGAGAGCGUGGGGAGCAAACCGG